rnacentral:snRNA from 1 species
AAACUUACCUGGCAGGGAGGCUCACGAAGGAGGGUCACCCAGUGAGGCUCUGACGCUGAACUGAAAUCACCCAAAGGUGAGAAGCUCAACUAGAUAAAUCCUGGUAGCAGGGGACUGCAUUUGCACCCUCCCG